UUAGUGAUUAUUAUAAAAUUAUAUAUAAAGUAACAUUUCUAAUGAAAUAUUAGUAAAUAUAUAUAAUUUUUUUUAAAAACUUCAAAAAUGUUACCUAUUCCUAUAACACUCUGGACGGAGACCUAGCCUAAUGAAACGGAAGAAAGAUCAGGAACCAGUCAUAGCUCUCAAUCUCACUCCAAAUCUCGUUCUCCUUCGCACUCUUUCUCUCAAUCUCACUGGCGCUCUCGAUUGUGCUCCUCCGCUCUUUGAAUCUCUCUCUCGUUUCAACAAAUUCUAGGGUUGGAUUUGUUAUUCUCUGUUUUGAGAAAUAAUUGAAGAGGGGCCGA